rnacentral:rRNA from 2 species
UACGUAGGUGGCAAGCGUUGUCCGGAAUUACUGGGCGUAAAGGGCGAGUAGGCGGUAAUACAAGUCAGAUGUGAAAGGCGAGGGCUCAACCCUCGGAUUGCAUUUGAAACUGUGUAACUUGAGUGCGGUAGAGGAAAGUGGAAUUCCCAGUGUAGCGGUGAAAUGCGUAGAUAUUGGGAGGAACACCAGUGGCGAAGGCGACUUUCUGGGCCGUAACUGACGCUGAGGCGCGAAAGCGUGGGGAGCGAAC